UUGUUUGACCUCGGAUCAGGUAGGGAUACCCGCUGAACUUAAGCAUA
rnacentral:rRNA from 1 species